GUAGAUUCUAAAGAUCUUAUCAUACCAUGUAAGAUUAUCACUUGAUCUUAUUUUUAUGAUACUUAUUAGAGAUGAUGACUGGUCCCAAAUACUUAUUAAAUGAUUUUUUGGCUCAGCUUGAUCAUCUUUGACUAUCUAGAGUAGUAUUUUUGGAGUUGUAGCUUCUAUCUCUUGUUUCCAGCAAGUAAUGAUAUGACCUCCUGCAGGAUUAGUGAUGAAUGGUAUCUCCCAACUUCCUUAUGCCCCUGUCUAGGUACUUUUUCUUUUUUUUUUCUAAGGUAAUGCCUUAAUUGGAUUUUGUUUCUUUUUUGCUUAUUUUUUAUGCUCGUGGAAUGAUCCGCAGAGCCAAAAAAUCCAUUGUUAUCCAACUUGAGGGAUUGGAAAGAUUACUAUCAGUGGAGAUGCCUCCCCUUCAAUUCACCUGUUGCAUUGUUACUCCACUCA
rnacentral:lncRNA from 1 species